rnacentral:rRNA from 1 species
GACGAACGCUGGCGGCGUGCUUAACACGUGCAAGUCGAACGGAAAGGCCCUGCUUUUGUGGGGUGCUCGAGUGGCGAACGGGUGAGUAACACGUGAGUAACCUGCCCUUGACUUUGGGAUAACUUCAGGAAACUGGGGCUAAUACCGGAUAGGAGCUCCUGCUGCAUGGUGGGGGUUGGAAAGUUUCGGCGGUUGGGGAUGGACUCGCGGCUUAUCAGCUUGUUGGUGGGGUAGUGGCUUACCAAGGCUUUGACGGGUAGCCGGCCUGAGAGGGUGACCGGCCACAUUGGGACUGAGAUACGGCCCAGACUCCUACGGGAAGCAGCAGUGGGGAAUAUUGCACAAUGGGCGGAAGCCUGAUGCAGCAACGCCGCGUGCGGGAUGACGGCCUUCGGGUUGUAAACCGCUUUCGCCUGUGACGAAGCGUGAGUGACGGUAAUGGGUAAAGAAGCACCGGCUAACUACGUG